rnacentral:rRNA from 1 species
UCUUAUGAAGUUAGCGCGCGGACGGGUGAGUAACAGCGUGGGUAACCUGCCCAUAAGACUGGGAUAACUCCGGGAAACCGGGGCUAAUACCGGAUAACAUUUUGAACCGCAUGGUUCGAAAUUGAAAGGCGGCUUCGGCUGUCACUUAUGGAUGGACCCGCGUCGCAUUAGCUAGUUGGUGAGGUAACGGCUCACCAAGGCAACGAUGCGUAGCCGACCUGAGAGGGUGAUCGGCCACACUGGGACUGAGACACGGCCCAGACUCCUACGGGAGGCAGCAGUAGGGAAUCUUCCGCAAUGGACGAAAGUCUGACGGAGCAACGCCGCGUGAGUGAUGAAGGCUUUCGGGUCGUAAAACUCUGUUGUUAGGGAAGAACAAGUGCUAGUUGAAUAAGCUGGCACCUUGACGGUACCUAACCAGAAAGCCACGGCUAACUACGUGCCAGCAGCCGCGGUAAUACGUAGGUGGCAAGCGUUAUCCGGAAUUA